GGAGUACGGCCGCAAGGUUAAAACUCAAAUGAAUUGACGGGGGCCCGCACAAGCGGUGGAGCAUGUGGUUUAAUUCGAUGCAACGCGAAGAACCUUACCUGGUCUUGACAUCCACAGAACUUUCCAGAGAUGGAUUGGUGCCUUCGGGAACUGUGAGACAGGUGCUGCAUGGCUGUCGUCAGCUCGUGUUGUGAAAUGUUGGGUUAAGUCCCGCAACGAGCGCAACCCUUAUCCUUUGUUGCCAGCGGUUCGGCCGGGAACUCAAAGGAGACUGCCAGUGAUAAACUGGAGGAAGGUGGGGAUGACGUCAAGUCAUCAUGGCCCUUACGACCAGGGCUACACACGUGCUACAAUGGCAUAUACAAAGAGAAGCGACCUCGCGAGAGCAAGCGGACCUCAUAAAGUAUGUCGUAGUCCGGAUUGGAGUCUGCAACUCGACUCCAUGAAGUCGGAAUCGCUAGUAAUCGUAGAUCAGAAUGCU
rnacentral:rRNA from 1 species